rnacentral:rRNA from 1 species
AACGAACGCUGGCGGCAUGCCUAACACAUGCAAGUCGAACGAGACCUUCGGGUCUAGUGGCGCACGGGUGCGUAACGCGUGGGAACCUGCCCUUAUGUUCGGAAUAACUCCCCGAAAGGGGUGCUAAUACCGGAUAAUGUCUUCGGACCAAAGAUUUAUCGCCUUUGGAUGGGCCCGCGUUGUAUUAGCUAGUUGGUAGGGUAAAAGCCUACCAAGGCGACGAUCCAUAGCUGGUCUGAGAGGAUGAUCAGCCACACUGGGACUGAGACACGGCCCAGACUGGUACGAGAGGCAGCAGUGGGGAAUAUUGGACAAGGGGCGAAAGCCUGAACCAGCAAGGCCGCGUGAGUGAUGAAGGCCUUAGGGUUGUAAAGCGCUUUUACCCGGGAUGAUAAUGACAGUACCGGGAGAAUAAGCACCGGCUAACUCCGUG